GCCAGGCACAGUGGUGUGUGCCUAUAGUCCCAGCUACUUGGGAGGCUGAGGUGGGAGGACUGCUUGAGCCCAGGAGUUCUGGGCUGUAGUGUGCUAUGCCGAUUGGGAGUCUGCACUAAGUUCGGCAUCAAUAUGGUGACCUCCUGGGAACGGGGGACCACCAGGUUGCCUAAGGAGGGUUGAACCGGCCCAGGCUGGAAAUGGAGCAGGUCAAAACUCACGUGCUGAUGAGUAGUGGGAUCACGCCUGUGACUAUCCAUUGCACUCCAGCCUGAGCAACAUAGCGAGACCCCCAUCUCU
rnacentral:SRP_RNA from 1 species